UCGUUUCCAAAUAUUGCAGAAAAACUCGUUGAUGCUGCUGCAUCUGUCCAAAUGACCGGAGAGUGGACCGACAAUGGAGGCAAGAACAUACUUCUGCCAUUCCAUUGCAACAGGAAUUUGCACCACAUUAGCAAAAUCAGCUGUAGCCUGUGCCUCCAAGCUGAUACGAGUAACGUCAUUUGGUAUGAGAGGGAGGAGGCAAAGGAGUCUAGAAAUAAAGGCCCUG